rnacentral:misc_RNA from 1 species
UCCGGUUCAUCACCAGCAGUCUCCUUAGAGUCCCCAACUAAAUGAUGGUAACUAAGGAUAAGGGUUGCGCUCGUUACGGGACUUAACCCAACAUCUCACAACACGAGCUGACGACAGCCAUGCAGCACCUGUGUCCAGGUUCCUUUCGGCACCUUCGCAUCUCUGCAAAUUUCCUGGCAUGUCAAGGGUAGGUAAGGUUCUUCGCGUUGCAUCGAAUUAAACCACAUGCUCCACCGCUUGUGCGGGCCCCCGUCAAUUUCUUUGAGUUUUAACCUUGCGGCCGUACUCCCCAGGCGGAGAACUUAUCGCGUUAGCUUCGAUACUGAUAGGUCCAAGCCUACCAACGUCUAGUUCUCAUCGUUUACAGCGUGGACUAC